rnacentral:rRNA from 1 species
AUGCCUCUGCCACACACCGGCCAAGAGCUAACAGCUGCUGCCAUUCUGCGCAAUGAUGCCAUUGAUCUGUCAAGUGAUGAAGAUCUUGCAGAUGACGCUCUUGAGCAACUCAUCAAGAGCAAAGAAGAAGCAGAAAUCUUCAAUGAUCUGCCUCUCUUUGAUGUAACCAUCAUCCACAACUUCAUUAACGAGUGGUUUGACACGCCAAACAUCAGCUUUGAAGAUCUGCAGCUACCCAUUGGCCUUAGUGUCGCCUUCCAUGGCGCCAUUGCUUCAGAGUUAGCUAUCGCCCAGCGCAUUGUUGAACUGAAGCAGAAGAUUGACUUUGAGAAAUCUCAGUUCAAGAAGCAUAUGGCCAAGCUCAGCGUGCAAGACGUGAAAAAUUUCAAGAUUAUGCUGCACGAGCUCAAGGAAGCCUUUCUCAAGAAACAUGCAGAAGCUCAGGGUUCACGUGAGCGCAUGAAGGUUCUGGCUGACAGAUGUGUGCAAGCCUACAAUGAGGCUGAGAAGCGUAAGGCCCUUGGGCGUCCUGGCAUCGACCCCAGGAUGGCAGCAAAGAAGAUGAAGAAGCCCGCUACGGCUGAACCUGACGCACCAAGGCAGGAAGCAGAUCCCAUUGUCUUCCCAACUAGAAUGACUGGCUCGAAGCCAAAAAGCCGGUCAACCGCUUCAGAGCUCAAGAAGACGAGGACUGCUAAGGCUGAAGCCAGGAAGAGGAAACAUCCGGAAGCCUCUCCUACUGCCCCCUCCAAGAAGAAGAGGAAGACCAAGAAAGAUCGGGUUGCUCCCACAGAGCCUUUGAUAGUUGAACCCAUUUCCAUGGUUCGUCCUGACGCUGAACGCCAACUGACAAUCCAUGAGCCUGCUUUCACAGAGGCUCAUGACCAUGUAGAAGAUGGUGCAGUCCUUCCUCAGCUCGAGAAAAGUGAACUCAUCAGCAUUGGUCGUCCUCUGACGCCAAUCGCUCAGGAUGCUUCAUGGGCUGAUCGCCCACAAGAGGAAGAAGACUUUGAGGCCCAGCCAACAGCAACUCCACAGGCGUCGCCCGUAUUGCGCAGUCUUCGCAAAGGUCCAAGGCCUCAAGUCUCUGCUGAAGACAAUCCGGCUGCAUCAGCCACGGAAGAAGAAGUCCCACAAGUUGCCACUCCCCUGUCCCACCAAGAAGUAGUUCUCGUGGAGAACGUGAUCGUGACCGAUCCUCCUACUCGUCAAGUGGAGGUUGAACAUCUUGAGGCUGCCACCACCAACACCACUGAAGCCACUGACGCUGUCAUGGCUGAAGCUAAUGUGGAGCCCUCACCAACAAAAGCACCAGAAGUCAGCGAAGCCACUGAUCCCGCCACUUUUGUUCCUGAGUCUGCUGUUGGUCCCCAGUUCGACUAUCAUGUUGAGCACAGACCUCAAGUACAGAAGCCAAUCCCAAGAUUGCCAAGGUUCCCAGGUCCUGCAUCAGCACCCGGCUCCUUCAAUAUCAAUGGCUUCAGAGCAGACACCACAUUCUUCAAUAGCUCCAGGAACCCCUACUCAAGGGAAAGGAUAUCAUCUGAUCGGUUCUGA